UGCCAGCCGCCGCGGUAAUACGGAGGGAGCGAACGUUGUUCGGAUUCACUGGGCGUAAAGGGCGUGUAGGCGGUUCGACAAGUCAGAGGUGAAAUGUCUCGGCUCAACCGAGGACCUGCCUUUGAAACUGUCGGACUUGAGGUCGUGAGAGGAGACUGGAAUUCCUAGUGUAGCGGUGAAAUGCAUAGAUAUUAGGAAGAACACCAGUGGCGAAGGCGAGUCUCUGGCACGAUUCUGACGCUGAGGCACGAAAGCUAGGGUAGCGAACGGGAUUAGAUA
rnacentral:rRNA from 1 species